CCUUGUCUUGUGCUGGGCCCCGUUCCUCAAAGCGAUCGUAGCUACAAUCAGUUGUAAGCCCUACGAUCAAAUUUACCAGUAUCGUAA
rnacentral:lncRNA from 1 species